GAUGAACGCUGGCGGCGUGCCUAAUACAUGCAAGUCGAGCGAACAGACGAGGAGCUUGCUCCUUUGACGUUAGCGGCGGACGGGUGAGUAACACGUAGGUAACCUACCUAUAAGACUGGGAUAACUUCGGGAAACCGGAGCUAAUACCGGAUAAUAUUUCGAACCGCAUGGUUCGAUAGUGAAAGAUGGCUUUGCUAUCACUUAUAGAUGGACCUGCGCCGUAUUAGCUAGUUGGUAAGGUAACGGCUUACCAAGGCAACGAUACGUAGCCGACCUGAGAGGGUGAUAGGCCACACUGGAACUGAGACACGGUCCAGACUCCUACGGGAGGCAGCAGUAGGGAAUCGUCCGCAAUGGGCGAAAGCCUGACGGAGCAACGCCGCGUGAGUGAUGAAGGUCUUCGGAUCGUAAAACUCUGUUAUUAGGGAAGAACAAACGUGUAAGUAACUGUGCACGUCUUGACGGUACCUAAUCAGAAAGCCACGGCUAACUACGUG
rnacentral:rRNA from 1 species